GACGAACGCUGGCGGCGUGGAUUAGGCAUGCAAGUCGAACGGUAGGAUACCUUCGGGUAUCUGAGAGUGGCGAACGGGUGAGUAACACGUAGGUGAUCUACCCUCAAGAUUGGGACAACCCAGGGAAACUUGGGCUAAUACCGGAUGAAAGCAGCAGUGAUGUUGUUUGAAAGGUGGCGUAAGCUGCCGUUUGGGGAUGAGCCUGCGCUCUAUUAGUUAGUUGGCGGGGUAAAGGCCCACCAAGGCGAUGAUAGAUAGGCGGCCUUAACGGGUGGUCGCCCACACUGGGAUUGAGAUACGGCCCAGACUCCUACGGGAGGCAGCAGUCGAGAAUAGUCUACAAUGGCCGAAAGGCUGAUAGUGCGACGCCGCGUGAACGAAGAAGCCCUUCGGGGUGUAAAGUUCUUUUAUAUGUGAGCAGUACUUUCUAUGUGAACAGCAUGGGGAAGAGAUAUUAGCAUAUGAAUAAGCAACGGCUAACUCCGUGCCAGCAGCCG
rnacentral:rRNA from 1 species